rnacentral:tRNA from 1 species
AGGAUAAUAGUUAACAAUAACAUUUAAUUUGCAAUUAAAAAGCAUUGAUUUACAAAUCAAUUUAUCUUA